CUCGUAGGUGGCCAUCUAAGUCAGACGUGAAAUCCCUCGGCUUAACCGGGGAACUGCGCCUGAUACUGGACGGCUUGAGUUUGGGAGAGGGACGCGGAAUUCCAGGUGUAGCGGUGAAAUGCGUAGAUAUCUGGAGGAACACCGGUGGCGAAGGCGGCGUCCUGGACCAACACUGACACUGAUGAGCGAAAGCCAGGGGAGCAAACG
rnacentral:rRNA from 1 species